UGUUCCAACAGGUCUUUUGUCAUCCAGCAGAUCCCAAGCAGCAAUCUGUUCAUGGUGGUGGUGGACAGUAGCUGCCUCUGUGAGUCUGUGGCCCCCAUCACCAUGGCACCCAUUGAAAUCAGGUAUAACGAAUCCCUUAAAUGUGAACGUUUAAAGGCCCAGAAAAUCAGAAGGCGUCCAGAAUCUUGUCAUGGCUUCCAUCCUGAGGAGAAUGCGAGGGAGUGUGGGGGUGCACCGAAUCUCCAGGCCAAGAUGGUCCUUAUCCUGUUCCCUCUGCUUUUGAUGCUCUUCUCAAGGUGACACUGAUGGAGAUGUUCUCUUGGCAUGCUAAGUUAUGGAUAAACUGUGAACCAAAAUAUGGUGCGACAAUAGGAUACAUGAAAUAUAGUCCAACCAUCAGCAUCUCAUGAUUUUAAACUGUGCGUGAUUUAAACUCUUAAAGAUAUGUUGACAAAAAGUUAUCUUUUUACUUUGCCAGUCAUGCAAAUGUGAGUUUGCUACAUGAUAAUCACUCUUCAUCAGAAACGGGACUGCGAGUGGGCAGUGUCCCUUCUGCUUGAAACCCAUUGAAACCAAUUUAAAACUGUGUACUUUUUAAAUAAAGUAUAUUAAAAUCC
rnacentral:lncRNA from 1 species